UACGUAGGGUGCAAGCGUUAAUCGGAAUUACUGGGCGUAAAGCGUGCGCAGGCGGUCUUUUAAGUCAGAUGUGAAAUCCCCGGGCUUAACCUGGGAACUGCGUUUGAAACUGGAAGGCUAGAGUGUGGCAGAGGGGGGUGGAAUUCCACGUGUAGCAGUGAAAUGCGUAGAUAUGUGGAGGAACACCGAUGACGAAGGCAGCCCCCUGGGCUAACACUGACGCUCAUGCACGAAAGCGUGGGGAGCAAACAGG
rnacentral:rRNA from 1 species